rnacentral:rRNA from 1 species
CAAUAGCGUAUAUUUAAGAUGUUGCAGUUAAAAAGCUCGUAGUUGGAUUUCGGGUGGGACGCAGCGGUCUCGCAUUGCGUUUGUACUGCUGCAGCCCUCCUUCUUGCCGGGGGCGGCCUCUCGGACUUCACUGUCUGGGGGUCAGAAUCGGCGAUGUUACUUUGAGUAAAUUAGAGUGUUCAAAGCAAGCUUACGCUCUGAAUAUAAUAGCAUGGGAUAACACGACAGGACUCUGGCCUAUCGUGUUGGUCUAUAGGACCAGAGUAAUGAUUAAGAGGGACAGUCGGGGGCAUUCGUAUUCCGUUGUCAGAGGUGAAAUUCUUGGAUUUACGGAAGACGAACAUCUGCGAAAGCAUUUGCCAAGGAUGUUUUCAUUGA